rnacentral:misc_RNA from 1 species
UUGUAGAGAACAUGAGCAGCUUGUGGCAACCACUAUUAGAUAUGAAGUUUCUGAAGACGACAGAUGCAGGAGAGCAGACAGACGUAACGGAAUGGGUGGCAGAGUACAUUCGGGAAAAAGCGCCAGAGCUACUUAGCUUGAUUACUUGUAGUGAAGUGUUCGAUAGUAGCGGGGGAGGCGCUGCAAAAAUGUGUAGGGAGAUGGAUGUGCCAUUCCUAGGGAAGGUACCAUUGGAUCCACAGCUUUGCAAGGCAGCUGAAGAAGGUCGGUCCUGUUUUGGUGACCAAAAAUGUGGGGUAAGUGCCUCAGCUCUGAAGAAGAUUAUAGAGAGGUUGAUACAAAAUCAAGGAUUUUCAACAAUAUCAAUAGAUGAUAAAGCGUAGGACAGAGUUGGAAGAGGGUAAAGGUUAAUAGUAUAUAUUUUAUUUACUUAUUUAUUUAAUGUGGUUGUCCAAAUUACUUAAUUCACAAUAUGUUUCCAUCUAAGUUUUGAACUCAUGUUUUUUUUCUCUUUGGUCCCUCACGAAACAUAGGGUUUGUUAAGAUAUCAUAAUAUACUUUCUCUUUUGUCACUCUUUCACAAAACAUA